rnacentral:rRNA from 1 species
AGUGAACGCUGGCGGUAUGCCUAACACAUGCAAGUCGAACGGCAGCACAGUAAGAGCUUGCUCUUACGGGUGGCGAGUGGCGGACGGGUGAGGAAUACAUCGUAAUCUACUUUUUCGUGGGGGAUAACGUAGGGAAACUUACGCUAAUACCGCAUACGACCUACGGGUGAAAGCAGGGGAUCUUCGGACCUUGCGCGAUUGAAUUAGCCGAUGUCGGAUUAGCUAGUUGGCUGGGUAAAGGCCCACCAAGGCGACGAUCCGUAGCUGGUCUGAGAGGAUGAUCAGCCACACUGGAACUGAGACACGGUCCAGACUCCUACGGGAGGCAGCAGUGGGGAAUAUUGGACAAUGGGCGCAAGCCUGAUCCAGCCAUACCGCGUGGGUGAAGAAGGCCUUCGGGUUGUAAAGCCCUCUUGUUGGGAAAGAAAAGCAGCAGGUUAAUACCCCGCUGUUCUGACGGUACCCAAAGAAUAAGCACCGGCUAACUUCGUG